GCCGCCAUGAUUGCACAUUUUGUUGAGAAGGGGCUGGUGCUGAUACUGGGCUGUAAUACGGUGGCCAUGCUCCCGUACGCCUUGGGAGUGUGCCUCAGAUAUGCGUACAUUGAGAACAUAUACAUACAUGAGAACGUCCUCUCCGAACUGAAGAAGGUAAACCAGAUGUUCGUGUCAUUAUACUUCGCCAAAUCAGCCAUCAACCCGGUGGUUUAUGGCUGGAAAAACGCAGAAUUCGCCGCAGCAUUUCGGCAGAUUGUCGGCUGUGGCGACCGAUCUAAGCUACGGCGACAUUCAGCCAGCGCCAUCUGCACAGUAUCUGGGCGACUGCGGCGCCACCUGGAUCCAGUGAACGAACUGUCCAGCUCAGCCUCCGUGGAAACCAUCGAUACUUAUCUGUGACACAUUUAGUUAGCGAUAGAUCAGUGUUUCGUGAAGAUAAUAAGCUAUAAUUUAUUUUUCUACAUAUUCGUUGAUGGUAUGCAUUUAAAACUUGUAUCAGCACAAAUUUGAUAGCUUGCAUCGGCAAAUAUCCUAAUUCCUAUUCAAAAAGUCGUGCAGCAUGUGAUCGGAACAAUGACCAUGCCCCAAGCGUAUGGUGAAACACAACAGGCAGUCAGAUACAAAUAUUUUCAAGUCAUUUUGACCAGCAUACCGUUAUAUUGAAGGCUCCUGUUAUGCUUAGAAAAUGUACUACGACAGCGAUGGUUUAUCGGUGCUUUUGCGAAAAGCAGCAGUACCUAUCGCUCUCGGUUGCAUCGUUUGCCUGACUUCCUUGCAUUUACUGGAAAUACAAUUGUCAGGGAGGAGAGCGAAAAAAAUAGGAGAUUGCCAAUGCUUUUGGGUAGUAUUGAUGAAGGAUGGCUUGGAGUGCUAAGAGGAUAUUCAUUGGUCAUGAGCUUAUAAUUUUGAUUUUAAACAGCUACAUCGAUUAAAACUAUAGUGCAAUCACUCUGCAAUGAUAACCGUCCUGAAAAACGUUACGUACUAUAAUGCGUGUAUUUUAAUUGCUUAUUGCCUGUAUUUUAAUUGAGUUGCCAAAGAAUGAGGUAAAUUCAUCACGGUCAAAGGUUGGGGCCUGGCGGCAUGAAACAGCAUCGCUUAACAAUGUGAUUGUAGGUUCUUUUUAGCAGGCCAUGGCAGGGGUUAAGGACCAAAAAGAUGGAUCCUGGUAUGUUUCCUGGUACAUUGUUAUUGUUCUUUGCAUUUAAUUUAUAAAUUACCAUGUCAAAACGCCGAUGUUUGGCAUGCGUAAAAUUUCAAAUUAGCAAAACGAAAACGAGACGGACGCUGCUAAUGAUCUGUCUUGCCGAGAUAUUUUGCUAUAUAAACUUAGCCGUUGUUGGUGACAUAAGAGACCAGUGUUGAAUCCUUGUUUGUAAAUAAAUCCAAAGAACACCUA
rnacentral:misc_RNA from 1 species